AGCACCAAAAUGAAAUUCCUGUCAUUCAAAAUCACUCUUUGGUUAAAUAGAUGAAAUUCCCUAACCAUUUACAAUAUUUAUUUUGAUUGAUAUAUUUAAUUAGAUAGGAAAAAGACUUAAGUCAUCCGAGAAUUACCCACAGAAUGACACACGUCUGAUAAUAUUUCAGACUCUUCAGGAAGUUUCUGCACUCUUUUCAUAGAGGAACUCGAACAAGCAGAAAAUGAUUGAGAGAGUCUGGCAGCCUUUUUAUUGGCCCUUUAUUUUCAUUCCAUGCAGUUUUGCACUCUUAAGAGGAUGAGAAAUGGGGGACCCAGGGAUCAGCAAAAGCAUUAGGAGAUGGAAGAAAGCAAAAAAGGAGCAUUCUUCCUUGCCUCCCUUUCUCAAAGGCUAUGGCGGAUUUUAAAAUUGGAUAACACAUGGCAGUCAGAGAUCAUGAAAUAAACCAGCCACGUCAGCACUCAGAUAGAUUUCACUUUAAGUCUGAGUGUGCAGUAUGGACAUGAUACAAAGUACACAGUUCAUACACAUGGAAAUAAAUGCAUGCAGACAAAAUUUGUUGGUUUGUCUAACUAGGACGGGCCAGUUCAUGGUAACAGAGAAGGUCACAAUACUGCAGCUCACCGAGCUAAAUCAUUGCACCAGUAGACAGUGUGGUUAGCAUGACCGCUUGGUUCCAAGAAGUCAAGGCUAAAUCAACAAUCAACUGUUCACCACCUAAGAUCCACCAUGUCCUUCUUUGUAUUAAAUACAGGAGCUGAAAAUCUGGAAACUACACUACGAGAGAAACUGAUGGAGAGAGGGAAACAUGGAACAGUUCUUAUUCCUCAUCAUAGCUGCUUGAUCUGCAGCCAGAGCAGAGAAUCAUGGGAUUUCUAUGGCAAAACUGACAGACAUUUGAGCUGGAUUUUCCCAUCCAUCCACAAGCAACAAUAAAAUUGAAGGGGUUGUAAUAUGCUGAGUUAGCAAGAAACAUCUGGACAAAGAGUGCUUACAGAAGCUGUGACUCAACCAUGGCUUCAACUGAGCAACCCCCACAUUACAGAUUGUGCCGAAUAUGUGAAGGAGUUCAUCCUACUUACAGUAUUCAUGUGCAUGACUGAAUAAUUCUGUGUAAAUGAUUGUGGUUGGUUGAACUGCUGCUGUAAUAAUAAAGAAUGUCCUGUGCUCAUCCCAGUACCCUUACUGACAA